rnacentral:rRNA from 1 species
GACGAACGCUGGCGGCGUGCUUAACACAUGCAAGUCGAACGGAAAGGCCCUGCUUUUGUGGGGUGCUCGAGUGGCGAACGGGUGAGUAACACGUGAGUAACCUGCCCUUGACUUUGGGAUAACUUCAGGAAACUGGGGCUAAUACCGGAUAGGAGCUCCUGCUGCAUGGUGGGGGUUGGAAAGCUUCGGCGGUUGUGGAUGGACUCGCGGCUUAUCAGCUUGUGGGUGGGGUAGUGGCUUACCAAGGCUUUGACGGGUAGCCGGCAUGAGAGGGUGACCGGCCACAUUGGGACUAAGAUACGGACCAGACUGGUACGGGAGGCAGCAGUGGGGAAUAUUGCACAAUGGGCGGAAGCCUGAUGCAGCAACGCCGCGUGCGGGAUGACGGCCUUCGGGUUGUAAACCGCUUUCGGCUGUGACGAAGCGUGAGUGACGGUAAUGGGUAAAGAAGCACCGGCUAACUACGUG